rnacentral:rRNA from 1 species
AUUGAACGCUGGCGGCAGGCCUAACACAUGCAAGUCGAACGAGUGGCGGACGGGUGAGUAAUGUAUGGGAACCUGCAUGAUGGAGGGGGAUAACUACUGGAAACGGUAGCUAAUACCGCAUACCAUCGGAUGUGCCCAAAUGGGAUUAGAGAGUAGGUGGGGUAAAGGCUCAACUAGGCGACGAUCCCUAGCUGGUCUGAGAGGAUGACCCGCCACACUGGAACUGAGACACGGUCCAGGCUCCUACGGGAGGCAGCAGUGGGGAAUAUUGCACAAGGGGCGCAAGCCUGAUGCAGCCAUGCCGCGUGUAUGAAGAAGGCCUUCGGGGUGUAAAGUACUUUCAGCGGGGAGGCGUUACCCGCAGAAGAAGCACCGGCUAACUCCGUGCCAGCAGCCGCGGUAAUUC